AUGAACAAUCUCUCGAGUGAGGAAACUUCCAAAUUAGAAAACGCGUACACUGCCGCUGUAUUCAACAAUAUCAAAUACAUAGACGACGAUUCCACUGACGAAUCUCAAGGAUUAAGCAGAAACAGUAUCAUAAGCAGACUCAGGCACGAGUUUUUCAACAGUAAUACGUUGUCAGCACCAACUAUUCCUGCGAAACCAUCUAUCAUUAAAAAUAAAGAUAGCCGAAGUAGCAUCUCUGAUGCAGAGCCCAAGAAAAAUGUUACCUUCUCUAACUCGGCAGAGAAAAUUUUCGUUCAGGAUGAAUCUCUCGAUUGCAGGGACUGUAGUAACGACAACGGUAGAGGGAAACAAAUGUACACCAUAACUGGGGAAGUAAUUUUUGAGCGUCAUAAUGUACUCAAGUUCCCACCAGGCGUAGUACACGGUGGGUCGUUUCAUUCACGUCAAAGUUAUGAUCCUCAUUUAGAGGUUAUAAACGAAGAGGGUUGCGAGACUGCUGAGUCAGCCACUGAAACCGUUGUCAGCCCUUCAAUUCCUGUAACCACCAAUACUACUACAUUUGGAGAGCCCGGUACACAAACGAUGCAGCAUUGCAGAGUGAACGUUUUCCACUCCAGGCCAGUCGAGCACGUUGAAAUAGUCGAUGUCGGAGACGUAUUCCCACAAACCAAUGGUGAACCACCCCCUUCGACCGAGCUCGCCGUAACGGGGUCAGAUGAGUUUACCGAAAAUAUUCUUGUAGAUAUCGUCCAGACUACAAGCUUGUCCAACGCAGAAGCAGUUUGUGUUACCAUUGACUCUGAUUCUGACGUAAUGACAGCGUCUUCCAUAGCCGACGAUGACAACCCACCCCCCUUAGCCUCUCCUAUAUUCCUGAAUGAAAUCAUAGAUGCUGAAUUCAGAUGUGGUUCGCCAACUCAGAGCGCUUCAGGUCCACGAAAGAUCGAAGUAGAAGAGCCCACAAGUCGUGAAGUUUCAGCACCGAGUGAGGAUCGUCUUUGUUAUGGGUAUCCUGCAUAUGCAAGCCCUACGUAUGAAAAUGUUGAAGAAAGUUUGAUCUGUUCAAAACAUGAGAUGCCCCCGUAUCAUGGCACAGCCCUCCCACUUUCCAGCCAGUGUUUAGAUAAUGACAACCUCUCCCUAGAGAGUGUACAAGCAAGUCAAGCUCGUGUGGAUUGUCCUGAGGCAUCAGAGCAUAUAUACGAAAAUCUAACUCCAGAUGUUUUGGAUGAUUUUCAAGAAAUUAACCCAGCUAUUGCUAGCAGUGAAAAUGAUCACCCAUUAAGAGAGGAUGCAGUUUUAGAGUCCGCCCAAACUUUGGAGUUCCUAAAGCUUGAACGUGAAGCAGAAUCAACGGUCAACCAAGGACUUUCAUCUGAAUCUGAUCAAUUUAUUCAGAAAAUGGGUCAAUCACAUAAUGAAGUUCCUGGUGAUUCCUGUAAAAAUCAAGAUGGCGAACUCGCCUCUUCUGGAGAAGAAGCAGCUCUGAAUGAAGAUUGUGCUGCUGAUAGUUUGGAAAACUUACCACAUUCCAAGGACCGUGCAGUCUCAAACGUCUCGUGGAAAGUUGACUCUCUCAGCGAGGUCUGUAAUUAUGAAGAAGAAGAUCCAAAUGAAAGCUGUAGCUCUGAUGGCUCCGAUUCUAGUUUCGAACUGGAGUGUUUUGACGCUUAUUCAUUCCAUUGCGCUGAAAGGCUGGAACAAAUGAAAGAUUCCAUCGUCUAUGAUUUUUCCAGCGAUGAAAUUGAAGAUAUAAAGAGAAUCUCGGGCCUUUGUGAGAUGAGUAACUCUGACCUUACUCUCACAGACAACUGCGUAGAAAGCAAUUCCGUAUCGAUAGAAGUGAAUUCAAAUACGGCAUUGCAAACUUCGGAUGUCAAUAGUAGUCCAGUGGACGGAGGUAUUGGCCGACCAACAGUCAGCGAGAGUGUCACUUGCAACGGAUUCAAAAGUCAGUUGACAAUUUUUCCGAAAAGCACCGAAUCGAAUUCGCAAAAUGGCACGGUGAGUACCGAUCACUCAAUUUAUAAAGUUAUGGUUAAUGAUGGAAAUCCCGGGGCUCUUAAAGUGAAGCACCCCAGGAAUGACAUUGUAACAUUCCAGCAGAUGAGUCCAUCAGUGAUAGCGGCCCUCGAAGAUUCGAAUGAGAACUCGGUUGCUCCGCAAUCGACCAUGGACUCCUCAAGUGUGGAUUGUGGGACCGAAUCAAAGCCCGAAGAAGAAACCGCUCUCGGGGCCAUCGAGUCUGAUGUUGAUUUCGAUUACGCGAUUUCCGAAAACAGCGCAUUGACAACCAUUCGACGAGACUCGACCAAGAACGUUGUAAAGCUCGAGUCUGCUGAAGAAAUUAUCUGCAGCGAAUCAGCAAGCAGUUUUGCAUCGGCUUCGCUCAUACCGCACCUGCAACAAGACUCUCAAGAGAACUUAUCCAAGUCGGACCUUUCCGAUUCCCGACACGAGUCCUCGAGCAGCAACUCGACCACUUUAAGCACUGUCCGUCAUAAUUCAAGUGACUCCAUUUUCACCGCAAAUAACAACGAUAUCAGACCCGAUAGAAUCAACGAGAUCCCUUCGCUGAAAGAGUUGUGUUUAAUCACCGUCCUGAGUCUCCCUAACAGUUUGAAUAUCCUCGAGAAUAUUGGUCUGAGCGAUUUACUGUUUGAAAACGGCUUCAACGAUGACGAUGAUCUCGAAAUCAGCAAUGAGAUCGGGAACUCCGGGGGAGACUGGUGCUCCAAUCCGCAUCAACAACGGAUCUCUUCCGUCCAGCGCAGUGAAGCUACCAGUUCGUCUAGGUCGGAAAGUCAAAAAUUAGAAUUGGAACCGCCACCCAGGCAAACAAAAUCACAAAGCUGUAACAGUUUUGUUCCAUAUCGUAGUUUCAGUUUCGUCCAAAUGACGAGUGUGGGCACUAACACAGACGAACCAAACAAGCAAGAUCAGGCUACCGAUAGUAAUAGUUUAAUCGAAGGUCAUUCUGAUUGUGAGUGGAUCGGUUUACCCACUGACACACAUUCAACAAUUCUGCUUUCUCCGUCACAAUAUAAAACUUAUAAGUUUCCCCAGUCGCCAGAGCAGAAUGCAAAUUUACUAGACUUGCACAACAAGUUUUCUGCGAGGCGCGGGUACCAUGAGCUCGACUGGAAAAGUGCAGCGCAGAAAACCACGGCGGGAAGCUUCGAAAACAGCUCCUGUUCUCCUGCGUCGAGUUUUAGGCCGAUCGAAGCGAGUCAAGUGUCGACUGAAUCUAAUUCAAGCUUUGCGAGAAGAAAUGUGAAUGACGGAAAUACCGCGGCGACGUUGAUUGUUGAUAGAAAUGCCGGCGGCCGUGUUAAUCGUUUAUCAGGAGACGCUCGCCGGCCGAGCGAUACAUCGAUGCCCACUGAAAGCUCAGCAACCAUUCAUCAAGGAGCGUUAAAGACCUUUCUCCCGAGGGCGAGCGGUCUGGAACCGGACUUUGAUUCGCGUAAGCAAACGAACGUUUUUCACCUCGAUGAAAGUACUACGAGCCCGAGGAGCGUAAGACAGCAUCCCGGUGUUUUUCGAGGAGAGGAAGUUGUUGAAGCGAGAAAAUCAAGUCUGGAAGUCUCGUCAAAUAUAGAACCGGGCUAUUCAAGACUGCUGGCCAUCGUCCAAGAAAAUGCAAAUGAGUGUCAUAGUAAAAGUGCACUGGACUCGACUCCUGGGUGCCUA
rnacentral:lncRNA from 1 species